ACGCCUGUGGCUCAGUGGAUAGAGCAACGGCCUCCGGAGCCGUGUGCGGCGGUUCGAUUCCGCCCAGGCGUACCA
rnacentral:tRNA from 1 species